rnacentral:rRNA from 2 species
ACGCGACCCCAGGUCAAGCGGGGCUACCCGCUGAGUUUAAGCAUAUCAAUAAGCGGA